rnacentral:ncRNA from 1 species
UAAAACAAGUUCGGAGAGGUCCGAAAGUCACUGUCCCUAUCUACUAUCUAGCGAAACCACAGCCAAGGGAACGGGCUUGGAAUAAUUAGCGGGGAAAGAAGACCCUUUUGAGCUUGACUCUAAUCUGGCAGUGUAAGGAGACAUAAGAGGUGUAGAAUAAGUGGGAGAUAUUAGACCUCGGUUUGGUAUCGUCAAUGAAAUACCACUACUCUUAUUGUUUCCUUACUUACUUGAUUAAAUGGAACGUGUAUCAUUUCCUAGCCAUUAUACGGAUAUAUUUAUUAUAUCUUAUGGUAUUGGGUUUUGAUGCAAGCUUCUUGAUCAAAGUAUCACGAGUUUGUUAUAUAAUCGCAAACAAAUUCUUUAAUAAAACGAUGCAUUUAUGUAUUUUUGAUUUGAAAAUUUGGUAUAACUCCAAUUACUCAGGUAUGAUCCAAUUCAAGGACAUUGCCAGGUAGGGAGUUUGACUGGGGCGGUACAUCUCUCAAAUAAUAACGGAGGUGUCCCAAGGCCAGCUCAGUGCGGACAGAAACCACACAUAGAGCAAAAGGGCAAAUGCUGACUUGAUCUCGGUGUUCAGUACACACAGGGACAGCAAAAGCUCGGCCUAUCGAUCCUUUUGGUUUAAAGAGUUUUUAACAAGAGGUGUCAGAAAAGUUACCAUAGGGAUAACUGGCUUGUGGCGGCCAAGCGUUCAUAGCGACGUCGCUUUUUGAUCCUUCGAUGUCGGCUCUUCCUAUCAUUGUGAAGCAAAAUUCACCAAGCGUUGGAUUGUUCACCCAUGCAAGGGAACGUGAGCUGGGUUUAGACCGUCGUGAGACAGGUUAGUUUUACCCUACUAAUGACAAAACGUUGUUGCGACAGCAUUCCUGCGUAGUACGAGAGGAACCGCAGGUACGGACCAAUGGCACAAUACUUGUUCGAGCGAACAGUGGUAUGACGCUACGUCCGUUGGAUUAUGCCUGAACGCCUCUAAGGUCGUAUCCGUGCUGGACUGCAAUGAUAAAUAAGGGGCAAUUUGCAUUGUAUGGCUUCUAAACCAUUUAAAGUUUAUAAUUUAUUUUAUAAACGACAAUGGAUGUGAUGCCAAUGUAAUUUGUAACAUAGUAAAUUAGGAGGAUCUUCGAUCACCUGAUGCCGCGC